ensembl:lncRNA
AGUGUGAUGAGCAUCUCUUUACUGAAGUGGUUAGUUCUGAGGCAGGGAAGUACAAGGGAGUCAGCGCUAUAAACAAGCCUGCAUGCUAGGCCAUAAGAAUAAAUAACAACCAUUGGACAGCUCCUACAAUAUCACUUUUCACAUUUCUGAGUAUGAAAUGAAAACAGCAUUGGUUAAGGAAAGGGCAUCUAAUAAUCAUUAGAUCAAAUAAUCAUUGAUUCUCAAACUGCAGGACUUGGCCAAAUUAAAAAAUGACAAAAGCAUUCACCGUUACUACUGUAGAACAAGUGUAAAUUACUUAACAGAUCCUUUCAAUGAACAGCAUUUUAUCUUUAAGAGACAUUUCAGUUUACCAUUAGCAAAAUACAUCAAAAAUAUAUUAAGGCACUAAAAUAAAUACAUAGUACUACAUUGUCAACGAAUGGAGACGUCAUGAGGUGUACUGAAUGAGUCGUGAUGAAGGAAGAUUAUUUUAGCUUUGACAGUGCAUAGUAAUCUAACCAGCCGAUUAUGACAUGUCAAUCAGACAGUAUUUCUCUGUCUAUCUCAUCUGCAAGAUAAGACAACUGACCAUGACGGUUCUGGAGCAAUGACUGGGUCAAACUGUAUUCUCCUGAGAUGUUCACUUUAAGUUUUGCUUCCCUUGGCAGUUUAUUCUCAGAAUCAACCUGCAAUAAGGAGUCUACACAUUAGCAACUUUACGACUUUUGAAUUUUCAAGUAAAAAGAUUCAUCAGAUGAUUAUCUUUAAGGAAAUCUUUGAGAACAUUAUUUACACAAACAUUUUCACAGUUUUAAAAAAAUGCAAGUUAUUGCUGAUGACAGUCCUUCCUACUGGAACAUCUCCCUGGCAUGUGCUCUACAUACAAGAAACCCCCACUGUACCUUCUGGUUAAUUAGAGAUGGAGGCUUUAUUUGUACAUACACAAGAGACAUUCUUGUGAGAGGCUCCUCAUAAGAAUACAGAGAACCAUUUAUCAGUUAUAACUAUGUAAAUAGGAAGGUUUCAGGAUAGGCC